UACGGAGGGUGCAAGCGUUGUUCGGAAUCAUUGGGCGUAAAGCGCGUGUAGGCGGCUUGGUAAGUCGGGUGUGAAAUCCCGGGGCUCAACCCCGGAAUUGCAUUCGAAACUGCCUCGCUGGAGUCCCGGAGAGGGUGGCGGAAUUCCCAGUGUAGAGGUGAAAUUCGUAGAUAUUGGGAAGAACACCGGCGGCGAAGGCGGCCACCUGGACGGCGACUGACGCUGAGACGAGAAAGCGUGGGGAGCAAACAGG
rnacentral:rRNA from 1 species